UUAGGAACUUCAAUUAUCAGCAGUUAAAGAAAAUGAUGUCAACAAAUGCUCAUCUCUUUACGCCAACACAAGCGAGUUGUUGGAGUUUGUCUGAGGAAUAAUAAUCUUGGGCUCAUGGUAACAGCUCCCAGUACAACAAACCUGUCGUGAUGGCUCUGCAGCAACAUCCCGCUGAAGGUCCAGGUCUGUUCCAGGUUUCACCAGGUCAACAUGUCCUUGCAUUACUGAGGAGCACUUCCUGUCUGUCUGGAGCUACAGCAACCAUCACAGGAAAACCCCUCAUCUCCUUCCUCCUUUGUCGGUCAUGGUGCCUACUUCUGAAACUGAGAACACUUCAGCAUAUUCAUCACAGAGCUCCAGAGAUGAUGGCACAGAGGAAGCACAACCAGCUCUCAGGUGGGUUUCAUGAGGCCAGAUCUCAUCGUGGUGAC